AAUGUCCUACUAUUCCCUUAAUAACUCACUCUUUUUCUCAACUCAACCCUUUAUAUCUUUUUUUUUCUCACUAAUAUCAUUCCCCAAUUCCUUUUGCUUUGUCUUCCCCUUUCUCUAUCUCAAAUUCUUGUGUGUCUUCAUCUUCUUUCUUUACCUAAUUUGUUUUGCAUUGUUGCUAUUCCUCCAAACUACUAUUUGCUUAUUUUUGCAUCUAUAUUGGUACAAUGAGAUUAUCCAAGUUGUUGAUAUUGAUAGUUCUUUUGUGCGUUUUGUUCUCUUCUUUCGUUGGUUCCAACAUGAUUGUAAGAAAAGCCAUGCUUGUUAGCAAUUUCUUUGAUGGGGCGAAGAAGUUCGACAAGACAAGUGAUCAUAAACUUCAUGUUCAUCACAAGUGCAACACUAACGAGAGAUACAAAUUUGGCCAUUACUUGCCAUGCUAUAAGAAGAACACUCACUUAGAUGACAAGAGACUUGUUCCUACAGGGCCAAAUCCAUUACACAAUAGGUAGAAACAAGAGUACUCAUUGGCUUUAUUUGUAGAAGGAGAUCAUAUAUAACAUGAUGUAGUUAGUUUCUAUCUUUUUAUUUUCAUUGUAUUUUAGGAGAAAUGUAAUUAUACACUUUCUUCUAAAUUAGUUUUCAAUUUGAAAAUUUGCCACUUCAUGAUUGAUUCUCUUUUUUAUUAUGUGACUUGUUAUAUUUCAUUGAGAAUACUUUUUAUAUAUCGUCGUCAAUUAUAAGCAUUAAUCAUUA
rnacentral:lncRNA from 1 species